rnacentral:tRNA from 3 species
UGGGAUAUAGCCAAGCGGUAAGGCAACGGACUUUGACUCCGUCACUCGUGGGUUCAAAUCCCGCUAUCCCAG